GUUGCACUUGGUUUCCAAAUACAACAACUGGAUGCAAUAGAGUAUAAGAGGCUCAAAGACAGACAAGAGGCCAUCCACGAAAUCUUGAUAACAUGGAAACAGAGACAACUACCACAUCAAAAUGUGAAGGAAGUGCUUCUUUCACUCCUAAAGUCUGCAGAAACAGAGGCAGAAAAGACGAAAAUGACAGACAUUACUUCAACCGGUGACAUUUCUGACCAAGACUUGCUCAAACUGGCUAGAACUAUUAAGUGGAUGGACUUCAUGGAGAUCGGCACGAAGCUUGGAUUCAGUCAGAACAAGCUUAAGAACAUCAAACACAAGACAUUGCAGAAUCGCAAAGACGCUAACAUUCAAAUGCUCUGCAUGUGGAAAGCAUCUCAAAGACCGGGUGCUCA